rnacentral:rRNA from 1 species
GGGUUGUGAGGUUAAGCGACUAAGCGUACACGGUGGAUGCCCUGGCAGUCAGAGGCGAUGAAGGACGUGCUAAUCUGCGAUAAGCGUCGGUAAGGUGAUAUGAACCGUUAUAACCGGCGAUUUCCGAAUGGGGAAACCCAGUGUGAUUCGUCACACUAUCAUUAACUGAAUCCAUAGGUUAAUGAGGCGAACCGGGGGAACUGAAACAUCUAAGUACCCCGAGGAAAAGAAAUCAACCGAGAUUCCCCCAGUAGCGGCGAGCGAACGGGGAGCAGCCCAGAGCCUGAAUCAGUGUGUGUGUUAGUGGAAGCGUCUGGAAAGGCGCGCGAUACAGGGUGACAGCCCCGUACACAAAAAUGCACAUGCUGUGAGCUCGAUGAGUAGGGCGGGACACGUGGUAUCCUGUCUGAAUAUGGGGGGACCAUCCUCCAAGGCUAAAUACUCCUGACUGACCGAUAGUGAACCAGUACCGUGAGGGAAAGGCGAAAAGAACCCCGGCGAGGGGAGUGAAAAAGAACCUGAAACCGUGUACGUACAAGCAGUGGGAGCACGCUUAGGCGUGUGACUGCGUACCUUUUGUAUAAUGGGUCAGCGACUUAUAUUCUGUAGCAAGGUUAACCGAAUAGGGGAGCCGAAGGGAAACCGAGUCUUAACUGGGCGUUAAGUUGCAGGGUAUAGACCCGAAACCCGGUGAUCUAGCCAUGGGCAGGUUGAAGGUUGGGUAACACUAACUGGAGGACCGAACCGACUAAUGUUGAAAAAUUAGCGGAUGACUUGUGGCUGGGGGUGAAAGGCCAAUCAAACCGGGAGAUAGCUGGUUCUCCCCGAAAGCUAUUUAGGUAGCGCCUCGUGAAUUCAUCUCCGGGGGUAGAGCACUGUUUCGGCAAGGGGGUCAUCCCGACUUACCAACCCGAUGCAAACUGCGAAUACCGGAGAAUGUUAUCACGGGAGACACACGGCGGGUGCUAACGUCCGUCGUGAAGAGGGAAACAACCCAGACCGCCAGCUAAGGUCCCAAAGUCAUGGUUAAGUGGGAAACGAUGUGGGAAGGCCCAGACAGCCAGGAUGUUGGCUUAGAAGCAGCCAUCAUUUAAAGAAAGCGUAAUAGCUCACUGGUCGAGUCGGCCUGCGCGGAAGA